CCUAAAACAUUAACAUACUCCCACUUCUCUCAGCCGCUUCUUCUCUCUUCUCUCUUAGCCUCAACCUAUCUCUCUUCUCUCUCAGCCUCAGCCUCAACGAACUCCCUUAGCCCCACUCUCUCUCACCGAUCAACAAAGGCUCGGGUCUGCAACGGGCUGGACGAUGCGGAGGCUUGGGGGUUGUGAGGGGCUGGACCGACAGAGGCUCGGGGGUUACGAGGGGCUGGAUCGACAGAGGCUCGGGGGUUGCGAGGGGCUGGACGGCGCGGGCUCUGGGGCUGGACGACGCGGAGGCUUAGGGGCUCGUUGGGGCUGGACGACAUGGAGGCUUGGGGGCUCGUUGGGGCUGGACGACGCGGAGGCUUGGUGGCUCGUUGGGGCUGGACGACUCAAAGGCUCGAUAGGUCUAUAUUGAGAUGCAUUUCUUUGGCGCAAUACUAGACAACAUUGACAGUUGAAGUUUUUAGAAUAAAAAAUAUAUUUCACUAACAUUGUAUACAUUUCUUGUGUUAAUAUUUGGUGAUGAUAAAAUUUGAUUGUAGUAUAAACUAUCAUGUAAUAUGAUUUUGUAAGCCGAGUAAACUAAAUACUGAAAUGAUAUUUUUGAGUAAUUAAUAAAAAAUUAUUUUGUUGUAUUUUCUUUUGAAAUUUUAGAAAUCUAACAUAUAUAAUACAUUUUGGACACUCAUAGGGAUAUAUUUUUUCUAAAUCAAAAUGAAAAUUGUAGCUGCAUUUUUUUUUUAAAAAAAAAUUACUUUUAAGGGCAUGCAAAGCGAGUCCUAAAAAAUUACUUAAAGCACUCAACCAGAUUUUUUAGGACUCGCAAUGGGAGUCCUAAAAACUUAAUUAAAAGCACUCAACCAGAUUUUUUAGGACUCGUGUUGCAAGUCCUAAAAAUGUUCUUUUAGGACUGGCAAUGCGAGUCCUAAAAACUUAAUUAAAGGCACUCAACCAAAUAUUUUAGGACUCGCAACGCGAGUCAUAAAAAACCUUAGUUUUUAAGGCUCUCAAAUAGAGAACUCGUACCCCGCGAGUCCUAAAAUCUUUUUUAGGACUCGCAAUGCUAGUCCUAAAAAUCCUUUUUUUGUAGUAGUGUCUGCUUUGAACGUACGAGGGCUCCAUUACAAUUUGUUGAGAUAGAUAAUGUUGCAAUUUAGGAGGAUAGGGAGGAGUAAAUGGAAGAGGAAGAGGAGGAGGAGGAGGAGGAUUGGAGGAGGAGGAGGAAGUUGAAUAUGAAGAUGAUGAAGAGGAAGAUGAACACAUAGAAACCGAUGAUGAUAGUGAAGAUUAUUAUAGUGAUUAUUAAGUGAUAUGACUGAUGUUAUUGCUCAAUCUCACGGGGGUGAUGGUGGAGGAUGCAAUCCUCCACGUGGACCAUCAGAUAUCCCAGCUGAUUGUGAACGAGUGCCUCCAAACAAACGUGGACGCCAUAAAUGAUUGAACACGCGGGAAAAAAAGGAACAGUUGGGGCGUCCUCUCCCUCUCGAGUGGGAUGUGCAAGGGAGAACAUAUAAAGAGAUCGGAGAUUACAGCUCAAAUUUCUCAAGAGAGCUCGGAUUACUUGUUCGACAGUACACAGAUCCGGACUGUCCUCAAUGGUCAAAAGUACCAAAUGUCUCGAAACAAAGAAUACUUGCACAUCUGGAGGAUGAUUUGUUUGAUAUUGGGCGUACUAGAUAUGGACAAGGGCACAUGCCUGAGAUCUUGAGAGGCAUUGAUACAUCGUGUGCUAAAAAGUAUUCUGACUGGAAGUAUGAUAUUAAAGAGCAUUUAACGAUUAAUGGGCCACAAAAUUGUUAUGGUGGUUGCACAGAUACACAGUGGCAUAAUGCCAUUGAAUUUUUUCAACGCCCAGAAAUUACGAAACGUUCUGUGGUCAACAAGGAAAAAAGGAAAAAACUGAAAGAGCUUAGCUAUGGAGGUUCUCAGUCAAUCCUAGUGUUGCGCUAUAAAAAAAGACUGGGCAACUUGAGCCCAUCCCGGAUAGCUGGAUGGAUACUCACCAUAAUUCAGGCAAAGGGUGGGUGACAGAGACAGCCAAAAAUACUUGGGAGGAAUUGUGUGCAUAUCGUGACAUACAGCAGACACAGACAACUGAUACUGAGAGUUCCACACUAGUUUCGAGUGCGCCUGAAGAUGAAGACAUAUCUUUGGUACAAACUGUCUUCGGAAAACGACGGGGCCACCAGAAAGAAUAUGGACGUAUCCUUAACAUAAGGGAAUGAACUCCAUCUGAUUUUCAUCAUUCACAAACUAGAGAUGAAGAGAUGUCUGAGAUGAGAGAGCGUAUUCGACAAUUAGAGGAGCAUUUCCAGACUCAUUUUAUAACCCCGGGAUCUCAAUGUG